UACGUAGGGUCCGAGCGUUGUCCGGAAUUACUGGGCGUAAAGAGCUCGUCGGUGGUUUGUCGCGUUGUUCGUGAAAACUCACAGCUCAACUGUGGGCGCGCGGGCGAUACGGGCAGACUAGAGUACUGCAGGGGAGACUGGAAUUCCUGGUGUAGCGGUGGAAUGCGCAGAUAUCAGGAGGAACACCGAUGGCGAAGGCAGAUCUCUGGGCCGUAACUGACGCUGAGGAGCGAAAGCAUGGGGAGCGAACAGG
rnacentral:rRNA from 1 species